rnacentral:rRNA from 1 species
UAUUAUGAGAGUUUGAUCCUGGCUCAGGACGAACGCUGGCGGCGUGCCUAAUACAUGCAAGUCGAACGCUUCUUUCCUCCCGAGUGCUUGCACUCAAUUGGAAAGAGGAGUGGCGGACGGGUGAGUAACACGUGGGUAACCUACCCAUCAGAGGGGGAUAACACUUGGAAACAGGUGCUAAUACCGCAUAACAGUUUAUGCCGCAUGGCAUAAGAGUGAAAGGCGCUUUCGGGUGUCGCUGAUGGAUGGACCCGCGGUGCAUUAGCUAGUUGGUGAGGUAACGGCUCACCAAGGCCACGAUGCAUAGCCGACCUG